GAUGAACGCUAGCGGCAGGCUUAAUACAUGCAAGUCGUCGGGCAGCGCAGGUAGCAAUACUGGGCGGCGACCGGCAAACGGGUGCGGCACACGUACACAACCUUCCGAGAAGUGGGGCAUAGCCCCGACAACUUUGGAUUAAUACCCCGUAACAUAACGAUGUUGCAUCACAUUGUUAUCAUAGCUCCGGCGCUUCUUGAUGGGUGUGCGGCUGAUUAGAUAGUGGGCGGGGUAACGGCCCACCAAGUAUACGAUCAGUUGCUGAUGUGAGCGCAUGAUCAGCCACACGGGCACUGAGACACGGGCCCGACUCCUACGGCAGGCAGCAGUAAGGAAUAUUGGUCAAUGGAAGCAAGUCUGAACCAGCCAUGCCGCGUGAAGGAUUAAGGUCCUCUGGAUUGUAAACUUCUUUUAUCUGGGACGAAAAAAGGCGAUUCUUCGUCACUUGACGGUACCAGAUGAAUAAGCACCGGCUAACUCCGUGCCAGCCGCCGCCGUAACAC
rnacentral:rRNA from 1 species